rnacentral:rRNA from 1 species
AUUGAACGCUGGCGGCAUGCUUUACACAUGCAAGUCGAACGGCAGCACGGGUGCUUGCAUCUGGUGGCGAGUGGCGGACGGGUGAGUAAUGCAUCGGAACGUGUCCUGAAGUGGGGGAUAACGCAUCGAAAGAUGUGCUAAUACCGCAUAUUCUCUGAGGAGGAAAGUAGGGGAUCGAAAGACCUUAUGCUUUUUGGAGCGGCCGAUGUCUGAUUAGCUAGUUGGUAGGGUAAUGGCUUACCAAGGCGACGAUCAGUAGUUGGUCUGAGAGGACGACCAGCCACACUGGGACUGAGACACGGCCCAGACUCCUACGGGAGGCAGCAGUGGGGAAUUUUGGACAAUGGGCGCAAGCCUGAUCCAGCAAUGCCGCGUGAGUGAAGAAGGCC